rnacentral:rRNA from 1 species
UACGGGAAGGCAGCAGUGGGGAAUAUUGCACAAUGGGCGCAAGCCUGAUGCAGCCAUGCCGCGUGUAUGAAAAAGGCCUUCGGGUUGUAAAGUACUUUCAGUCGUGAGGAAGGUGUUAAGGUUAAUAACCUUAGCAAUUGACGUUAGCGACAGAAGAAGCACCGGCUAACUCCGUGCCAGCAGCCGCGGUAAUACGGAGGGUGCGAGCGUUAAUCGGAAUUACUGGGCGUAAAGGGCACGCAGGCGGUUAAUUAAGUUGGAUGUGAAAUCCCCGGGCUUAACCUGGGAAUGGCAUUCAAGACUGGUUAGCUAGAGUCUUGUAGAGGGGGUAGAAUUCCAUGUGUAGCGGUGAAAUGCGUAGAGAUGUGGAGGAAUACCGGUGGCGAAGGCGGCCCCUGGACAAAGACUGACGCUCAUGUGCGAAAGCGUGGGGAGCAAACAGGGAUUAGAUACC